UUGCCAAGUAACCUGAUAUGCUGAUACAGACAAAUACAAAUCGUUUUUUACAAAAUCAGAUACGUGGUGAACUACAUCAGUAUCUUCCUUUUAAAUUCAGUGCAAAACAUUGCCAGUGGCGUAAAGGGGCUUCGUUAACUUGUAUCCAUAAAAGCAAAAGCCAGAAAUUUAAGUACUGUACGUUAAACUAAAGCAAUAUAAACACAAGUCUAGAUAGCCACAACAAAAACAUUAACUAAAGUAAUAUAAACACAAGGCUAGACAACCAUUACAAAUUUAAAUUCCUAGAAAGCAAAAGCAAUCCACAACGAAAACAUUAAGCAUUAACUAAAGCAAUAUAAAUACAAGUCUAGACAACCAUUACGAAUUUAAAUUCCUAGAAAGCAAAAGUAGUCCACAACGAAAACAUUAAGCAUUUGAUUGGUGAUUUGCAUUGUUAUCCGCCGAUGAUCCUCUUACAUCCACCUGUGAAGUACGUUCAUGCUCUGCAUCAUCAGGCUGAAACAAUAAAAACCAUAUUCGGUGAGAAGCUUUUUUAGAUUAAUCCCAAACAAGAUCGGAAAACAAGAUUGAAUCAAAGGUAUCCCUUAUCCUAAAGUUUCGAAUCAAAGCCUUAGCUUCCGCAAGGAGAUGGAAAUUCCUUGCCACCACCUCCAUCUUUAGCAAAGUUAUCAACAAGUUUUACUAGAAUUAGAUGAUAUUGAACUGUAUAUUGUACUAACUAAUUAUGCAGGUACAAAACCAAAUAUCAGACUCUGGGCAUUGCCAUGUUAUCGAAUGUUUAAUUUUCACACCAUCUUACACCUAUCUUUUCAAUUAUGAUAUCAAAUGGCAAUAGUAGACAGGACCAGCAGUGGGAAGACAACUCAACCCAGUAAUAGUAUGGCUUCUCUAGCAAUAUUAGACAUAGUUAAUCUCUUCCACAGAAGCACAAAGGCACCUUGCACCAGGCAAAUCACAUAUUCCAGCAUGAACUAAUUUUCAUUGCUUUAUCACAAAUAACAACAGAAAUAUAAGUGUGUUCCUGAUUCAAUUGAGAAGCAUGCCUUAUAUCCAACAUUAGGCGCUCUUUUCUUAUGGUCCACACUACCCUAGCCCCUACCCCUUGUUUUAGGACACAACACAAUUUAUGAAACACGACCAAUAAUUCUGCCAGCAACUUUUGAAUAACAGAGGAUUAACUAAACUAAAGGCAAGAAAGCACACAUACAAGCUUUAAGAGAUGGUCACAUGUUAAACUACAACUGAGUCAUUAUUUCUAUUUCUCAAGGGCGAGGAGGACGCAACAAGGUUCUCAACAUAUUCAGUCUUAAAAGGUUACACAAAGCAUUAAGGAUGCUUUUAGUCAAUGAUGGCACUUCACAUGAAACGCAUAGACAGCUAGAAUAAACAGUAUGUUAACUUCAUGCUGCAGUAUUGCAAACUAAUACAAUCAAUGGAUUUCAGAACCCUGUGUUUGAUGAAUUUCAGAUUUUUAUUUUUCACCGACCCACCAACCAGAAAGUAAAAGCUCACAAUCUAGGAGUUAACUGAGCAUUGAGCUAUCGAAAUCUAAGCUAAACAAUAUAGUCCUGUUUGCGGGAAAAGUAAUUAUUGUCCUAAAACAGUUUAAUUUUUCAAAAUUGACAGAUUUAACUUGACUAUAAACAAGGAUACAUCUUCUCGAAUUACCUAUUAAGCAAAACAAACAGAACACACUUUUUAAGGUACCCAAAAAUAAUGAUCGAUUAAUACAAACCAAACAUCGAACAAAUGAUGAGAUAAAAAAAUUUCCACAAACUACCCAACAAACCCAAUCUAGAGCCCCAAAAAGAUCUGCUUUUUUUUUAACUCCAAAAUAAAAUAAAAUAAAAUCCACAAUAUACUCUACAAGUAGUCAAAUCCAAGUAAUUGACAAAGAGGGCCAUAGAGAAUCAAAGAACUGCACAAUGCUACUAGUUGGGUAAAACUAAGCAGUGAAAUAAUUUACAUAUUUACAUCCUAAAUAUAAAGAAAAAAUGUGUGUCCCCCAAUCAUAUUGAUGAAAGUAAAAUGAACAAACAUCAAAAAAUUAAAAUACAAAUAGAAAAAAGAGAACUGACCUAAUGCUCACCAGGAUUUCAUCUCUCCAAGAGGAAUAAUACGGUGAAUAUAUAGCUCUGAAAAUGGAAGUUUCUAACUAAGAAAAUGGGAGAAGAGGGGAAGGUGGAAAUAUGGAGGGAAAUAAUGNNN
rnacentral:lncRNA from 1 species